AACGAACGCUGGCGGCAUGCCUAACACAUGCAAGUCGAACGAGACCUUCGGGUCUAGUGGCGCACGGGUGCGUAACGCGUGGGAACCUGCCUUUAGGUUCGGAAUAACUCAGAGAAAUUUGAGCUAAUACCGGAUAAUGUCUUCGGACCAAAGAUUUAUCGCCUUUAGAUGGGCCCGCGUAAGAUUAGCUAGUUGGUGGGGUAAAGGCCUACCAAGGCGACGAUCUUUAGCUGGUCUGAGAGGAUGAUCAGCCACACUGGGACUGAGACACGGCCCAGACUCCUACGGGAGGCAGCAGUGGGGAAUAUUGGACAAUGGGCGAAAGCCUGAUCCAGCAAUGCCGCGUGAGUGAUGAAGGCCUUAGGGUUGUAAAAGGCUCUUUUACCCGAGAUGAUAAUGACAGUAUCGGGAGAAUAAGCUCCGGCUAACUCCGUGUCAGCAGCCGCGGUAAU
rnacentral:rRNA from 1 species